AAUUAAUCGUAGAUUUCUCUUUUGGAGCUACUGGAGAGAAAAAUUCGGGUAAGCUCUUAUCUAAUUUAUUCUCUCUUUUAUUCCUUUUUGUCAUCAUUUUUAGUAUAUAGGUGUCUUUUCUUUUUCCUUCUUUCUCCUUCCUUACUAUAUCCCUUUAAGAGAGAAACACAACACUAAAAAAAUGUGCUGUUCAAUGAGCCAGAGAGGAAGUUAU